rnacentral:lncRNA from 1 species
CACCAAGCAGCAACAAAUCCCCAAUCUUCAUCCACAUCCACUCGUCUUCUCCGAGCUAGUCGAGCGGCAACCCCCACCCGAUCCCGAUGGCGCCCAAGGCCGAGAAGAAGCCCGCCGCCAAGAAGCCCGCGGAGGAGGAGCCGGCGGCCGAGAAGGCGGAGAAGACCCCGGCGGGGAAGAAGCCCAAGGCCGAGAAGCGGCUGCCGGCCGGCAAGUCCGCCGGCAAGGACGGCGAGAAGAAGGGCAAGAAGAAGGCGAAGAAGAGCGUGGAGACCUACAAGAUCUACAUCUUCAAGGUGCUCAAGCAGGUCCACCCCGACAUCGGCAUCUCCUCCAAGGCCAUGUCCAUCAUGAACUCCUUCAUCAACGACAUCUUCGAGAAGCUGGCGGCGGAGGCGGCCAAGCUCGCGCGGUACAACAAGAAGCCCACCAUCACCUCCCGCGAGAUCCAGACCUCGGUCCGCCUCGUCCUCCCCGGCGAGCUCGCCAAGCACGCCGUGUCAGAGGGCACCAAGGCCGUCACCAAGUUCACCAGCUCUUAGGCGAUGCGGUUGUCUUCUCGUGGUUGGUUCACCCCUGUAGUAGGAUGGUUGUUGCAGCGGCGGUAGUUGCCCUGCUUUCCUGUAUCUCCAGU